AGAGUUUGAUCAUGGCUCAGAACGAACGCUGGCGGCAGGCCUCAAACAUGCAAGUCUAGGGGGUGUAGCAAUACAUCACCGGCGGACGGGUGCGUAACACGUGGGAAUGUACCUACUGGUUCGGAACAACGCAGGGAAACUUGCGCUAAUACCGGAUAAGCCCUUCGGGGGAAAGAUUUAUCGCCAGUAGAUCAGCCCGCGUCCGAUUAGCUAGUUGGUGAGGUAACGGCUCACCAAGGCGACGAUCGGUAGCUGUUCUGAGAGGAAGAUCAGCCACACUGGGACUGAGACACGGCCCAGACUCCUACGGGAGGCAGCAGUUGGGAAUCUUGGACAAUGGGGGAAACCCUGAUCCAGCCAUGCCGCGUGAGUGAUGAAGGCCUUCGGGUUGUAAAACUCUUUCGACGGGGACGAUAAUGACGGUACCCGUAGAAGAAGCUCCGGCUAACUUCGUGCCAGCAGCCGCGGUAAUUC
rnacentral:rRNA from 1 species